UCCUCAGCUAGGCAAAUCCUUACCUGUCUCUCUUUUUGGAGGGCAGAUAGAAAAUGAUUGGAGGUUUUGUGUAACCAGAACCCACAGCAUCUUGACUGUUCCUACCUGUG